rnacentral:lncRNA from 1 species
CUUUUCUGCUAGGCGGGUAUUUGUCGAUAAAAAAAAAAAAAAGUGGAGUAAAAUGUAGCGAUUUAUCUAUCGAGUGGGAUGGAAUUGACCAAAAGAUGCUGAAUCAUGGCUUCUAUCUGAUGGUAACUGUUGUCAUGGUAUUGCUGUAAGCUUUGAGACCUGCUCGAUAGUGCCAAGCUUUUGCUUCAUCUGUAUAUGUUCACUAUUUUCAUGUGUAAGAGAACCA